GUUUUGUUUGCACAUUAUGCAAAAUAUACAUUCCUUUACAUUCAGAGUGUGUGAAAAAUACUCGAGCGCCAGUCUGACCAAAGUCAAACUCCCAAACCAGGGUAAGGCACUCAGAGUCAAAUAUGCACAGGUGUGUGGAUUUGCGACCCCAACGUGCACAUGUGUGACCACCAGCACUGGAAGGGCCGACUUUGAAGAUUCGUUAAUGAUCCUUCCGCAGGUUCACCUACGGAAA
rnacentral:misc_RNA from 1 species